rnacentral:rRNA from 1 species
GAUGAACGCUAGCUACAGGCUUAACACAUGCAAGUCGAGGGGCAGCAUGUCGGUUGCUUGCAACCGAUGAUGGCGACCGGCGCACGGGUGAGUAACGCGUAUCCAACCUACCCUUGUCCAUCGGAUAACCCGUCGAAAGGCGGCCUAACACGAUAUGCGGUUCUCAGCAGGCAUCUAACGAGAACGAAAUGUGAAGGAGAAGGAUGGGGAUGCGUCUGAUUAGCUUGUUGGCGGGGUAACGGCCCACCAAGGCGACGAUCAGUAGGGGUUCUGAGAGGAAGGUCCCCCACAUUGGAACUGAGACACGGUCCAAACUCCUACGGGAGGCAGCAGUGAGGAAUAUUGGUCAAUGGGCGAGAGCCUGAACCAGCCAAGUAGCGUGCAGGAAGACGGCCCUAUGGGUUGUAAACUGCUUUUAUAAGGGAUAAAGUGAGAGUCGUGACUCUUUUUGCAUGUACCUUAUGAAUAAGGACCGGCUAAUUCCGUGCCAGCAGCC